rnacentral:rRNA from 1 species
AUGAACGCUGGCGACGUGCUUAACACAUGCAAGUCGAACGAUUAAAGCUCACUUCGGUGAGUGUAUAGAGUGGCGAACGGGUGAGUAACACGUGGGAAACCUGCCCCUUUCUUCGGGAUAACUUCGGGAAACCGUUGCUAAUACCGGAUACUCCGGGAUGGUCGCAUGGCCGACCCGGGAAAGCUUUAUGUGGAAAGGGAUGGUCCCGCGGCCCAUUAGCUUGUUGGUGGGGUAAUGGCCUACCAAGGCAAUGAUGGGUAGCCG